GAUGAACGCUAGCGGCAGGCUUAACACAUGCAAGUCGAGGGGCAGCAUUGUGAGUAGCAAUACUUACAGAUGGCGACCGGCGCAAGGGUGCGUAACGCGUGAGCAACAUGCCCGUAACAGGGGGAUAAUCCAGGGAAACUUGGUCUAAUACCGGCAUAAUAUCAAUUAGAGGCAUCUUUGAUUGAUUAAAUUCGAUGGUUACGGAUUGGCUCGCGUGACAUUAGCUAGAUGGAGAGGUAACGGCUCACCAUGGCGACGAUGUCUAGGGGAACUGAGAGGUUUAUCCCCCGANACUGGUACUGAGACACGGACCAGACUCCUACGGAGCAGCAGUGAGGAAUAUUGGUCAAUGGACGCAAGUCUGAACCAG
rnacentral:rRNA from 1 species